rnacentral:rRNA from 1 species
CCUACGGGUGGCAGCAGUGAGGAAUAUUGGUCAAUGGGCGCGAGCCUGAACCAGCCAAGUAGCGUGAAGGAUGAAUGCCCUACGGGUUGUAAACUUCUUUUAUAAGGGAAUAAAGUGAUGCACGUGUGCAUGUUUGCAUGUACUUUAUGAAUAAGGAUCGGCUAACUCCGUGCCAGCAGCCGCGGUAAUACGGAGGAUCCGAGCGUUAUCCGGAUUUAUUGGGUUUAAAGGGAGCGUAGAUGGGUUGUUAAGUCAGUUGUGAAAGUGUGCGGCUCAAACGUAAAAUUGCAGUUGAUACUGGCAGUCUUGAGUACAAGUGAGGUAGGCGGAAUUCGUGGUGUAGCGGUGAAAUGCUUAGAUAUCACGAAGAACUCCGAUUGCGAAGGCAGCUUACUAACCUGCAACUGACGUUGAUGCUCGAAAGUGUGGGUAUCAAACAGGAUUAGAUACCCGUGUAGUC